GUCUUGCAGUCUUUACCUGGUCAAGCGGAGUUCAUGAACAGGGGAGGCCCAUAACAUCCAUCGCUGCUGUGAUGUGUGUAACCUGUGUGCCUGAGGGGUCUGUCGUCCCUUUGAGACAAACAAACCCAAAGUCCAGUAGCAGUGGCUGCUUCUUCCAUGAUACGCAGAGACAGAGCCCAAGCCAGAGCCAGAGCCAGAGACAUAGCCAUCUGCUGAUGAAGCCACAGUCUUUGAUCCAUUGCUUCAUGAGAUGAUGUUGUGCAAGAAGACUAAACUGCUGUUGGCUGCAUGCACACACAACAACACAAUCUCACACAGACAUACACACACACACACUAACACACACGCUUUCUCUUUGGCA
ensembl:lncRNA